GGCUGCAGGCGGCUGUGCAGCUGGUCGAGUUCGGAGGGGGUCUCCAGCCCCCCGGGGGGUCCCUGCGCCUCGUCUGCACGGCCUCUGGCUUCACCUUCAGCAACUAUCAGAUGGAGUGGGUGCGACAGGCGCCUGGGAAGGGGGACACCUCCCAGAGCACGGUCACGCUGCAGAUGAACAGCCUCAGGGCUGACGACACGGCCACCUACUACUGCGCUAAAGGAGCUGGUGCUGGUGGUGCUG